rnacentral:rRNA from 1 species
GACGAACGCUGGCGGCGUGCUUAACACAUGCAAGUCGAACGGAAAGGCCCUGCUUUUGUGGGGUGCUCGAGUGGCGAACGGGUGAGUAACACGUGAGUAACCUGCCCUUGACUUUGGGAUAACUUCAGGAAACUGGGGCUAAUACCGGAUAGGAGCUCCUGCUGCAUGGUGGGGGUUGGAAAGUUUCGGCGGUUGGGGAUGGACUCGCGGCUUAUCAGCUUGUUGGUGGGGUAGUGGCUUACCAAGGCUUUGACGGGUAGCCGGCCUGAGAGGGUGACCGGCAACAUUGGGACUGAGCAAGGGCCGAGACUCCUGCGGGGGGAAGCGGGGGGGAAUUGUGCAAAAGGGGGGGAGGCCGGAUGCAGCCCCGCCGCGUGGGGGAGGACGGCUUGCGGUUUGAAAACCGCUUCCGCCGGUGAGGAAGGGGGAGGGAGGGUAAUGGAUAAAGAAGCCCCGGCUAACUAGGUG